CCAAGCCCUAUGAUUACCGUACCCCCCAGUGGGCGGGGCUUAGGGUUACCAUAGCAACAAAGGGGAGCAGCCAAUAGGAAGCCUUGCCUGCUUGCUCCGCUGUCAUCGCUGUGGGUCAAUGGGGAGAAGAUGGGGGGGAGCGAGCCCAUGGCGGGAACACGGACAGCCAAUGGGGAGCGGAGAAACACAAUGGAGGGAAACCGGCAGCCAAUGGGCGCCUGCCAAACAGGGAUGACGUCAUCAACCCGUAGAGGGACACGGAGCUCACCCGGAUGGAGGGGUCGCGCGUAUAUGACGUCAUCACCCCGCGCCCGACCAGUUGAUGACGUCACAGCGGCACUUCCGUUUUAUUCCAAGCGAUUUGGCCCCAAAGUCGCCCCGCCCCCACGUGGCAACACGUGACGUCACCGACCGCCCCGCCCACAUAGCAACACGUGACGUCACUGCCCCACACAUCAGCCCCACUUAUGGGGCAGGGCUCCACUUAUGGGUCACAGCCCCACUUAUGGGGCAGAACCCACUUAUAGGGCAGAGCCCCACUUAUGGGGCAGGGUUCCACUUAUGGGGCAGGGUUCAACUUAUGGGGCAGAACCCCACUUGGGGGACAAGGCUCCACUUGUGGGUCACAGUCCUACUACUUAUGGGGCAGGGCUUCACUUAUGGGUCACAGCCCCACUUGGGGGUCACAGUCCUACUUAUGGGUCGCAGGUCCAUUUAUGGGGCAGGGCUCCACUUAUGGGUCACAAAUCCACUUGUGGGUCACAGUCCACUUGUGGGUCACAGUCCUACUUAUGGGGCAAGGAUCCACUUGUGGGGCAGGGCUCCACUUAUGGGUCGCAGGUCCACUUGUGGGUCAGAACCCACUUAUGGGUCACAGGUCCACUUGUGGGUCAGAUCCUACUUAUGGGUCACAGGUCCACUUGUGGGUCAGAUCCUACUUAUGGGUCGCAGGUCCACUUAUGGGUCGCAGGUCCACUUGUGGGUCACAGUCCUACUUAUGGGGCAGGGCUCCACUUGUGGGUCAGUCCGUGGGUCCAUCUAUCCAUCUCCUGUGGGUCCACAUCCACUUGUGGGGCAGCGCUAUGGGGCAGAGCCGCGGAGUGUCGCUAUGGGGCAGUGCCCCACUUAUGGGGCAGAGCUUCACAUACUUAGGGGUUGCAGCCCCACUUGUGGGGCAGAGCUCCACUUAUGGGUCAGGACCCCACUUAUGGGGCGGGAUGCCACUUAUGGGUCGCAGCCCCACUUGUGGGUCAGAGCUUCACAUACUUGGGGGUCACAGCCACACUUAUGGGUCAGUCCAGGGGGGGGGGAGGUUACGACACUGUGGGGCAGAGCCAUGGAGUGUCGCUAUGGGGCAGCGCCCCACUUAUGGGGUAGAGCUUCACGUACUUAUGGGACACAGCCACACUUGGGG
rnacentral:lncRNA from 1 species